AGUGAACGCUGGCGGUAGGCCUAACACAUGCAAGUCGAACAGCAGCACAGUAAGAGCUUGCUCUUACGGGUGGCGAGUGGCGGACGGGUGAGGAAUACAUCGGAAUCUACUUUUUCGUGGGGGAUAACGUAGGGAAACCUACGCUAAUACCGCAUACGACCUACGGGUGAAAGCAGGGGAUCUUCGGACCUUGCGCGAUUGAAUGAGCCGAUGUCGGAUUAGCUAGUUGGCGGGGUAAAGGCCCACCAAGGCGACGAUCCGUAGCUGGUCUGAGAGGAUGAUCAGCCACACUGGAACUGAGACACGGUCCAGACUCCUACGGGAGGCAGCAGUGGGGAAUAUUGGACAAUGGGCGCAAGCCUGAUCCAGCCAUACCGCGUGGGUGAAGAAGGCCUUCGGGUUGUAAAGCCCUUUUGUUGGGAAAGAAAAGCAGCAGGUUAAUACCCCGCUGUUCUGACGGUACCCAAAGAAUAAGCACCGGCUAACUUCGUG
rnacentral:rRNA from 1 species